CACGGGGGGAGCAAGCGUUGUUCGGAAUCACUGGGCGUAAAGGGCGUGUAGGCGGUCAGGUUAGUGAGAUGUGAAAUCCCUCGGCUCACCCGAGGACCGGCAUCUCAUACUGCUUGGCUUGAGUACGGGAGAGGUUGUGGGAAUUCCUGGUGUAGCGGUGAAAUGCGUAGAUAUCGUAAGGAAGACCAGUGGCGAAGGCGGGUCUCUGGACAGUUCCUGACGCUGAGGCACGAAGGUCAGGGGAGCAAACGGG
rnacentral:rRNA from 1 species